ACUUCACCACCACCACAGCUCUCUUUAUAGCACUCACCCAUGAAAAGCAUCACACGAAAAAGAUAAAAAUGGCCACACCCUUCUCUCUCUGUCCACCUCUCAUCUCCUUUCUCUCUCCAACAUCUCACUCCUCUCGUCAACCGUUGAAGCCCUCUCUCCCUUUCUCCUCUUUUCCAAUCUUACUCUCAACAUACCAUUCAAAGAAGACAAUUUUCUGCCCAUCCCCAACUCACAAAACCUCACAAAAAUCCACCCCAAAUUUGCGAAUUUCAGCCACAUCAGGGGAGGUUCUUCCUUCAGACACCCCAAUAGAGAAAACCCAACAGAUAGUUUCCAGUGAUGAUGCUUCUGGUUCCACUAUUAUCUCAGCUCUUCUCUUCUUUGCCUUUGUUGGGCUCUCUAUUCUCACCGUAGGGGUUAUCUACAUAGCUGUGACAGAUUUCUUGCAGAAAAGAGAGAGGGAGAAGUUUGAGAAGGAAGAGACCGCCAAGAAGAAAAAGAGUGGGAAGAAAGGGAAGGUGAAAGCCCGGGCUGGCCCAAGAGGCUUUGGGCAAAAGAUAGAAGAAGAUGAUGAUUAGUUUUACACAUUUUUUCCAGCUUCUACCUAGUUUUCAAUGGCCGUCUUGAUGAGAACCUCCAAAGCUGGGAUUGGAGCAACUGAAGACGGUGGGAUUUCGAUCAGAUUUGAAGGAAGAGAACCCAUUGCACUCAUCUUGAAAGGAACUCCAAAUCAGCCAUUAAAGCUGCAUCAAGAACAUUGAGGAUGUAUGGUGCAAGUGCCACACAUUGAUUCCCAGGUUCCUUUCACAUGAAGCUCAAAUGCAAAUGCAGCUACAUGCUUGAGCGGUGCUUUGGGUCACCCAGCCAUGUACUGGUUCGAAAGUCAGGCCUGUCAACUUAUUGGAUCGGUUGGACAUGUAUGAAAAUGAUGGAUAGCUUUAAAAAAUGUGGACCUGAUGAGUGGACCAGCCUGAUUUUGGGCCGGUCAUGUACAUGGACACCGAAGCAUGGGUCAGGCACUGACUCUUCGGAAUGUUGAUGAUGUCCAGAGGAGCUUUGUACUUUCAAAACAAUUUCUUAUAUGGGGAAUGAUCACAUACAUCCGUGAUUAGCAUACAUUCAACAAGAUUGAAGCCGACCACUGAUAUGUAUCUAGAAUCCAAACCGUGCAUCUCGCUAGACUCCUAAGAAUCAACACAAUCCAAAACUUAGUAGGAACAACCACAACCAUGCCUUAAACCUCUAUAUUCACUUGUCGUGGCCCACUUGAGUUUUCGAGUAGCGUAAGUUUCAGUGUUUCCGAUGUUGGCUGGGUAAAAGGACGACUCAGUGGAGGGCCAUGAUCGCACAAAUUUGGGCCAAAGGGGUAGCUUGUAAUGAACAUAACUUUGUGGCGUGUUAUCCAUUUCACGUGGAUUAUAUACCAUUGGAAAGCUAACCAUAAGCUCUAUGCCCUAGCCAAUCACUCAAAUGUUCAUUGGCCCCAAAUGACUUUACAAAAUUCAAUCAUUUUAAGAGUCAAAUUAGUUUUUGAAAUUAGAACUUACUAUUUUAGUGAGUUCCAUCUUUUGCUAUUUUAGGGUUUUAAGAGUCCGGUUGUGUCCAGAGUCAUUGUUUUAGUCAUCCAAGAGUUGCUUACGAGUUUAGAUAGGUUUAGGUAUUCUUUAAAUAUUUUUAGUAAUUUUACUAUUUUGGAAAAGUCUUCUAUUAUGAGUCAGAUUAUAACUCUAGGGCCUCUUUUGCUUAUGUAAGGUCAUCAAACAUGCUGUAAUCAACACUUUUCAUCAAUAAUAACACUUCCCAUUUUUCAUUUUAGAGAAUGACAUUUUUUAAUGCAAAAUUCCUCAUAAACUCAAAUUUUAUCAGAUAAUACCUGGACUACCGAACUCAUGGGGUGAUGUUUUUUGAGUGCUAAAAUUACCAAAUUUCCUUGUUGAUUUUAUUUUAUUUUUUUUCCUUUUCUUUUAAAAGUACUGAAGUCGGAAUUGUAGGGCCUACAUGGUAUGUGCAUAACAUCCAACCCGUCUAACAUAUGAACACACCAUGGUAACCACACGGACCAAAAGUCUCGCCAAUCGUGUUGUCAAAUAUGCUACACAUGGAUUGGGAUGUUUUUGAGUGGUUUAUAUUAUUUUUCUUAUGGUUUGGCCCUCAUGGUUGGAUCAAACAUAUUCUUAAUUUGUUUGUAAUCACGUUAGGGUGCAUUUGUCGGAUGAGUUGGAUGUCAAACACAUUUCCAUGGGCCCCAUGCUUCUAUAACCAAACUACCCCUAUUUAUGAAUCGUAUCCACCUAACACAUGCGUGCACGCACACACACAUGCAUGUAUCGGUUCUUCUUAUAAAUUGCAUACAUGAAAUGGAGGUAAGGGCCCAUUUUAACACCUUCCAAAGUUUUGUUUGAUGUCUAACUGUCGUUUUGAUCCAAACAAUAGUUGAUGUUGUGUGUUUGGAUACACUUUGCAAACGCUAUCUCAUGCCUGCCAAACCAACCCCAAUGGUUUUUGCCUAGUCAACCAAAAAAGCAAGCUCGAAAAUCUUUUUUCCCAUACACCAUCUAUGUUUGGAUGCAACUUCUUCAAAAUGGGAUUUAUUGCCAAAAAAUGAUGGGUCCCAGAAGGAAGAUUGUGGGUGGGAUCUAAACAUUGUCAUUGGUGCAUCCAAACGGCCCUAAGUGUGUAUUGCAGUUGUUGGUCUAUUUGAAAAGUAGCCUUUCUAAUGCCUAUUUCCAGGAGUGGAGGAUGAAAUGAGGUUCGCAAAAGUGCAUCCAAACACACAAUAAGAAAAGCAGCUUGGCUCAAAAUUGCAUUUAAGCCUCAAAUGUGCUUCUUGAGGGUGCUUCCAAAGGAGCCCUAAAUUCAAAUUAAA